GUGAGGAAUAUUGCGCAAUGGAGGCAACUCUGACGCAGCCAUGCCGCGUGCAGGAAGAAGGCGCUACGCGUUGUAAACUGCUUUUAACCGGGAAGAAACCCCAGGACGUGUCCUGGGUUGACGGUACCGGAGGAAUAAGCACCGGCUAACUUCGUGCCAGCAGCCGCGGUAAUACGAAGGGUGCAAGCGUUAUCCGGAUUCAUUUGGUUUAAAGGGUGCGUAGGUGGAGCGUUAAGUCAGUGGUGAAAUCCUGCAGCUUAACUGUAGACUUGCCAUUGAUACUGGCGCUCUUGAGUGCGCUUGAAGUGGGCGGAAUGUGCCGUGUAGCGGUGAAAUGCUUAGAUAUGGCACAGAACACCAAUUGCGAAGGCAGCUCACUAAGGCGAUACUGACGCUGAGGCACGAAAGCGUGGGGAUCGAACAGGAUUAGAUACCCCAGUAGUCC
rnacentral:rRNA from 1 species